rnacentral:misc_RNA from 1 species
GUAGGUGGUUCGCCUGCGAAAUCAGUCUGUUUAGGCAGGCAACAUCUCUACUGUGCUAGAAAUUACAAUAGUAUUACUAGCAGCCUGCUUAGCAGGUUCACAGAUCAAAUAGAGGUGGCCCUCUGGGGUUAAGAUAUGAUCGAUUUAAUGCUGAAACAGCAUUUUUCUAGUGGAACCUGCGGAAGGAUCAUUAAAGAGUUUAUGGACUUCGGUCUACUACUCCACCCUUUGUUUACAAUACCAUUGUUGC